AUUGAACGCUGGCGGCAGGCCUAACACACGCAAGUCGAACGGUAACAGGAAACAGCUUGCUGUUUCGCUGACGAGUGGCGGACGGGUGAGGAAUGUCUGGGAAACUGCCUGAUGGAGGGGGAUAACUACUGGAAACGGUAGCUAAUACCGCAUAACGUCGCAAGACCAAAGAGGGGGAACUUCGGGCCUCUUGCCAUCGGAUGUGCCCAGAUGGGAUUAGCUAGUAGGUGGGGUAACGGCUCACCUAGGCGACGAUCCCUAGCUGGUCUGAGAGGAUGACCAGCCACACUGGAACUGAGACACGGUCCAGACUCCUACGGGAGGCAGCAGUGGGGAAUAUUGCACAAUGGGCGCAAGCCUGAUGCAGCCAUGCCGCGUGUAUGAAGAAGGCCUUCGGGUUGUAAAGUACUUUCAGCGGGGAGGAAGGGAGUAAAGUUAAUACCUUUACUCAUUGACGUUACCCGCAGAAGAAGCACCGGCUAACUCCGUG
rnacentral:rRNA from 1 species